rnacentral:siRNA from 1 species
CGAUGGUAGGAUAGUGGCCUA